rnacentral:rRNA from 1 species
AUUGAACGCUGGCGGCAGGCCUAACACAUGCAAGUCGAACGAGUGGCGGACGGGUGAGUAAUGUCUGGGAAACUGCCUGAUGGAGGGGGAUAACUACUGGAAACUGUAGCUAAUACCGCAUACCCUCAGAUGUGCCCAUAUGGGAUUAGCUUGUUGGUGGGGUAACGGCUCACCAAGGCGACGAUCCCUAGCUUGUCUUCGAGGAUGACCAGACAAACUGGAACUGAGACACGGCCCAGACUCCUACGGGAGGCAGCAGUGGGGAAUAUUGCACAAUGGGCGCAAGCCUGAUGCAGCCAUGCCGCGUGGAUGAAGAAGGCCUUCGGGUUGUAAAGUACUUGCAGCGGGGAGGCGUUACCCGCAGAAGAAGCACCGGCUAACUCCGUGCCAGCAGCCGCGGUAAUUC